rnacentral:misc_RNA from 1 species
AGCAGCCGCGGUAAUUCCAGCUCCAAUAGCGUAUAUUAAAGUUGCUGCAGUUAAAAAGCUCGUAGUUGAAUUUCGGGAUCAAUAUGUUGGUCGUGCCUCGGUACGUACUAGCUUAUUGGUUUCUUCCUUCUGACGAACCAUAAUGUCAUUUAUUUGGUGUUAUGGGGAAUCAGGACUGUUACUUUGAAAAAAUUAGAGUGUUUAAAGCAGGCUCACGCUUGAAUACAUUAGCAUGGAAUAAUGAAAUAGGACGUUUGAUUCUAUUUUGUUGGUUUCUAGGAUCGACGUAAUGAUUAAUAGGGAUAGUUGGGGGCAUUAGUAUUCAAUUGUCAAAGGUGAAAUUCUUGGAUUUAUUGAAGACUAACUACUGCGAAAGCAUUUGCCAAGGAUGUUUUCAUUAAUCAAGAACGAAAGUUAGGGGAUCGAAGACGAUCAGAUACCGUCGUAGUCUUAACCAUAAACUAUGCCGACUAGGGAUCGGAUGAUGUUAAUUUUUAAUGUACUCAUUCGGCGCCUUACG